rnacentral:sRNA from 1 species
CAGUGCCCUGUACGAUAGUUUCAUGUGAUGUUAUGGCGAAUAGAAAAUUGAUCAAUCAAGUAACCUGGCUGUAAUGACUAGUAAGAAUUACGGUUUUUUUGUGGCUCUAUUUUUGAUUGCUACAGAUAGUCUCUCAGAAAGAGCGACUUAUGGUUUUUUUAGCGCUCUAAUUUUACUUCUCGUGCCCACCUAAUUUCGCAGUUUAUUGUCCUUGACUUCUACCACCAGAGAAAUUUUUUUUAAAAUUACAACUUUGCCCGUGCAGGGUUUUCUGGGAGAAGUGAAAAAAAAAAUUCUAACGACUGUCGAAGUUAUGAGUAAUUACUUCACUAGAGGGAGAGGGCAUAAGGAAAUUCUUGAAAAGCGCUGCAUAUAUAAAGGAGCAUUCUUGAUUACUUCUCCAUUUCAGUUCUUGUAAGUCAUCUUCGUAAAAAUAAAACUCUAUACAAGAACCAAAUAUAAACUACCAGCAAUGACAGGCAUUAACAUCAAUGGCUUACAGGAUACAUUUCAACAAGCUAUGAGUAUGAGCGGUUCUGCUUGUGCUGU